CCCUUAGAUGUUCUGGGCCGCACGCGCGCUACACUGAUGAACGCAACGAGACCACCUGUACCGAAAGGCAUGGGUAAACUUGUGAAAGUUCAUCGUGAUGGGGAUAGAUUAUUGCAAUUAUUAAUCUUCAACGAGGAAUUCCUAGUAAGCGCGAGUCAUCAGCUCGCGUUGAUUACGUCCCUGCCCUUUGUACACACCGCCCGUCGCUCCUACCGAUUGAAUGGUCCGGUGAAAUCUUCGGAUUGCUGGAUAGGACUUCAUUGACCUAUCUGCGAGAAGUUGCUUGAACCUUNUNAUUUAANGGAAGGAGAANUCGUANCA
rnacentral:rRNA from 1 species